AUACUUAGCUGGCAUAACAUUAUCAUUAAAGUGGCUGUCUUAGGGCAAGUUUUAUCCAUUUCACUUCCAAUGUGCUGACCCCCACAAUUUCCCCCAAAUUUGAGAGACUCAACUGCAUAAUUUGUGUAAUGGAGGACUGCUUUCACAUUAAGUCCUAUAAAACACAGACUUCUA
ensembl:snRNA Gm23239 U1 spliceosomal RNA